AAAAAAAAAACCAAUUUGGAAGAAUUGAAAGAGACGAACAUUUUUUUUCAUAUUUUCAUAUUUUCUUCCUCAUCGAUUAAUGCUUUAUUUUUCCGCUCCUUAUCUCGCUUUCGAGUUUCCUAAUUUUCCUCCCUAAUUUUUCUAUCUUUCAAAAAU
rnacentral:ribozyme from 15 species